AGCGAACGCUGGCGGCAGGCCUAACACAUGCAAGUCGAACGAACCUUUCGGGGUUAGUGGCGGACGGGUGAGUAACACGUGGGAACGUGCCUUUAGGUUCGGAAUAACUCAGGGAAACUUGUGCUAAUACCGAAUGUGCCCUUCGGGGGAAAGAUUUAUCGCCUUUAGAGCGGCCCCGUCUGAUUAGCUAGUUGGUUGAGGUAAUGGCUCACCAAGGCGACGAUCAGUAGCUGGUCUGAGAGGAUGAUCAGCCACAUUGGGACUGAGACACGGCCCAAACUCCUACGGGAGGCAGCAGUGGGGAAUCUUGCGCAAUGGGCGAAAGCCUGACGCAGCCAUGCCGCGUGAAUGAUGAAGGUCUUAGGAUUGUAAAAUUCUUUCACCGGGGACGAUAAUGACGGUACCCGGAGAAGAAGCCCCGGCUAACUUCGUG
rnacentral:rRNA from 1 species